AUGUGGGCCCUGCAGGCAGUGAAGAUGGGGUAUGAAUGGAAAAUAGGUGAUGGUAGAUUGGUUAGAUUAUGGGAAGAUACCUGGUAUGGUAACACUCCCCUAGCCACACAGUACUGGGACCUAUAUGUUUUGGUUAAUGAAAAGAAUAAAACCAUUGCAGAUCUCUGGGAUGGACAGGAGCUCAAAUGCACCUUUAGAAGGACCUUCUCGGAUGAACUGAUGUUACAAUGA
rnacentral:rRNA from 1 species